rnacentral:rRNA from 1 species
UGUAUGAAGAAGGCCUUCGGGUUGUAAAGUACUUUCAGCAGUGAGGAAGGUGGUAGUGUUAAUAGCACUAUCAUUUGACGUUAGCUGCAGAAGAAGCACCGGCUAACUCCGUGCCAGCAGCCGCGGUAAUACGGAGGGUGCGAGCGUUAAUCGGAAUUACUGGGCGUAAAGCGCAUGCAGGUGGUUUGUUAAGUCAGAUGUGAAAGCCCGGGGCUCAACCUCGGAAUAGCAUUUGAAACUGGCAGACUAGAGUACUGUAGAGGGGGGUAGAAUUUCAGGUGUAGCGGUGAAAUGCGUAGAGAUCUGAAGGAAUACCGGUGGCGAAGGCGGCCCCCUGGACAGAUACUGACACUCAGAUGCGAAAGCGUGGGGAGCAAACAGGAUUAGAUACCCUGGUAGUCCACGCCGUAAACGAUGUCUACUUGGAGGUUGUGGCCUUGAGCCGUGGCUUUCGGAGCUAACGCG